GUGGGGAAUCUUAGACAAUGGGCGCAAGCCUGAUCUAGCCAUGCCGCGUGAGCGAUGAAGGCCUUAGGGUUGUAAAGCUCUUUCAGUGGGGAAGAUAAUGACUGUACCCACAGAAGAAGCCCCGGCUAACUCCGUGCCAGCAGCCGCGGUAAUACGGAGGGGGCUAGCGUUGUUCGGAAUUACUGGGCGUAAAGCGCACGUAGGCGGAUGGACAAGUCAGAGGUGAAAUCCCAGGGCUCAACCUUGGAACUGCCUUUGAAACUUUCCAUCUUGAGGUCGAGAGAGGUGAGUGGAAUUCCGAGUGUAGAGGUGAAAUUCGUAGAUAUUCGGAGGAACACCAGUGGCGAAGGCGGCUCACUGGCUCGAUACUGACGCUGAGGUGCGAAAGCGUGGGGAGCAAACAGGAUUAGAAACCCUAGUAGUCC
rnacentral:rRNA from 1 species